rnacentral:rRNA from 1 species
GACGAACGCUGGCGGCGUGCUUAACACAUGCAAGUCGAGCGGAAAGGCCCUUCGGGGUACUCGAGCGGCGAACGGGUGAGUAACACGUUAGUAACGUGCCCCAGACAUUGGCAUAACCCUCGGAAACGGGGGCUAAUACCGGAGACGCCACAGCUUGGCACGGGGUGUGUGGGGAAAGGUGUUCGGUUUGGGAUGGGGUCGGGGCCUAUCAUCUUGUUGGUGGGGUGAUGGCCUACCAAGGCGACGGCGUGUAGCCGGCCUGAGGGGGAGACCGGCCACACUGGGGAUGGGACACGGCCCAGGAUCCUACGGGAGGGAGGAGUGGGGAAUAUUGCAGCAUGGGCGGAAGGCUGAUGGGGCGACGGCGCGGGGGGGAUGACGGCCUUCGGGUUGUAAACCUCUUUCAGCCGGGAAGAAGCGUAAGUCACGGUACGUGGAGAAGACGCGCGCGAACACUAUG